GUCUGCUUCAGUAGCACAUAUACUAAAAUUAGAACAAUACAGAAAAGAUUAACGUGGCCACUAAGCAAGGGUGACACACAAAUUCAUUUUGAAGGGUUCCAUAUUAAA